UGGGGAAUAUUGCGCAAUGGGGGAAACCCUGACGCAGCGACGCCGCGUGCGGGAUGAAGGCCUUCGGGUUGUAAACCGCUUUUGAUUGGGAGCAAGCUUUCGGGUGAGUGUACCUUUCGAAUAAGCGCCGGCUAACUACGUGCCAGCAGCCGCGGUAAUACGUAGGUGGCAAGCGUUGUCCGGAUUUAUUGGGCGUAAAGCGAGCGCAGGCGGUCAAUUAAGUCUGAUGUGAAAGCCCCCGGCUCAACCGGGGAGGGUCAUUGGAAACUGGUUGACUUGAGUGCAGAAGAGGAGAGUGGAAUUCCAUGUGUAGCGGUGAAAUGCGUAGAUAUAUGGAGGAACACCAGUGGCGAAGGCGACUCUCUGGUCUGUAACUGACGCUGAGGCUCGAGAGCGUGGGUAGCAAACAGG
rnacentral:rRNA from 1 species